AACUGAUUGAUAUGGAUACCAGUUCAGUAUAUUAAGUGUAGGUGAAACACACAAGACUUGAAAUGCAACCGUUAUUUUUUUACAUUUUCUUCAGUUUCUUUUUCGUUUCGGUCUUUGCUUGGCCUCCUUGGAGCGAAGAAACGAAUCUCAGGAUUCAAAAUUUUUCAAAAGAAGACAUCAUAACGACCGUUGUGACUGGCGUAAACUAUUUCCAUUUUGUAGGAAAAAACGGGCCACAAUAUAAGUUCCAAGGAGCUGCAAUACCAGCAGGGCACGUUCUUACAGAGAUAAUCAAAGUGAACCGUUUCGCAUCAAACUGUCCUUUCACUAUGAUUUUUUAUUUUCGCGGUGGCUCGACGGCUACGUUUACAAUAAACCAAAAGUAUGCACUUAAAGCUAAACCGAAUUUUUCAUCUGAUGGGAACCGCAAAAUUGGAUACGAUAAACUUGGAAAUACUAUUAUUAUAACGGUUUCAGACAAUGGUGAAACGGUUACAGCCACUACACCGAAAGUGACAGAUAACAGUAAAACGUUAACACCCACUAUACCGAAAGUUGAUAAUGAUAGUAGAACGGUAACACUCAACACGCAAGAAAAAUCUGAUGUCGACGUCUUUCCCUAUCCACGUUGGUAUCGUGUUCUAGGCGAUUUACUCUUUCACAUAGAUAGAGUCAUAAAUUCUAUUAUCGCAAUAAUUAUUAUUAUUAUCCCUUAUUUAUAUUAUUAUAACUGAAAAUUAAUGAAAAGAGAGCAAGCGCUGUUCUGCCCGUGGGACUGAGCAAUUAAAAUCUUUAAUAACAAA